rnacentral:rRNA from 1 species
CACGUAGGCGGAUUUGUUAGUCAGGGGUGAAAUCCCGGGGCUCAACCUCGGAACUGCCUUUGAUACUGCAAGUCUUGAGUCCGGAAGAGGUGAGUGGAAUUCCUAGUGUAGAGGUGAAAUUCGUAAAUAUUAGGAAGAACACCAGUGGCGAAGGCGGCUCACUGGUCCGGUACUGACGCUGAGGUGCGAAAGCGUGGGGAGCAAACAG